CCUACGGGGUGCUGCAGUGGGGAAUAUUGGACAAUGGGCGAAAGCCUGAUCCAGCCAUGCCGCGUGUGUGAAGAAGGCCUUCGGGUUGUAAAGCACUUUCAGUGGGGAAGAAAGCCUUGGGGCUAAUACCCUCGAGGAAGGACAUCACCCACAGAAGAAGCGCCGGCUAACUCCGUGCCAGCAGCCGCGGUAAUACGGAGGGUGCGAGCGUUAAUCGGAAUUACUGGGCGUAAAGCGCGCGUAGGCGGUCUGAUAAGCCGGUUGUGAAAGCCCCGGGCUCAACCUGGGAACGGCAUCCGGAACUGUCAGGCUAGAGUGCAGGAGAGGAAGGUAGAAUUCCCGGUGUAGCGGUGAAAUGCGUAGAGAUCGGGAGGAAUACCAGUGGCGAAGGCGGCCUUCUGGACUGACACUGACGCUGAGGUGCGAAAGCGUGGGUAGCAAACAGGAUUAGAUACCCCGGUAGUC
rnacentral:rRNA from 1 species